UACGGGGGGAGCAAGCGUUGUUCGGAUUUACUGGGCGUAAAGGGCGCGUAGGCGGCCAGCACAAGUCAGUUGUGAAAUCUCCGAGCUUAACUCGGAAAGGUCAACUGAUACUGUGCGGCUAGAGUGCAGAAGGGGCAACUGGAAUUCUUGGUGUAGCGGUGAAAUGCGUAGAUAUCAAGAGGAACACCUGCGGCGAAGGCGGGUAGCUGGGCCGACACUGACGCUGAGGCGCGAAAGCCAGGGGAGCGAACGGG
rnacentral:rRNA from 1 species